rnacentral:rRNA from 1 species
CCUACGGGCGGCUGCAGUGGGGAAUAUUGGACAAUGGGGGGAACCCUGAUCCAGCCAUGCCGCGUGUGUGAAGAAGGCCCUCGGGUUGUAAAGCACUUUCAGUGAGGAAGAACGCCUGGUGGUUAAUACCCAUCAGGAAAGACAUCACUCACGGAAGAAGCACCGGCUAACUCCGUGCCAGCAGCCGCGGUAAUACGGAGGGUGCGAGCGUUAAUCGGAAUUACUGGGCGUAAAGCGCGCGUAGGUGGCUUGAUAAGCCGGUUGUGAAAGCCCCGGGCUCAACCUGGGAACGGCAUCCGGAACUGUCAAGCUAGAGUGCAGGAGAGGAAGGUAGAAUUCCCGGUGUAGCGGUGAAAUGCGUAGAGAUCGGGAGGAAUACCAGUGGCGAAGGCGGCCUUCUGGACUGACACUGACACUGAGGUGCGAAAGCGUGGGUAGCAAACAGGAUUAGAUACCCCAGUAGUC